UAGUCUUAUAGUCAAAAUUAUGAUAUUAAACUGCAAAUUUAAAGUUGAUAUAAAAUAUUUAAGGCU
rnacentral:tRNA from 1 species